GAUGAAGAACGUAGUGAAAUGCGAUACGUAAUGUGAAUUGCAGAAUUCAGUGAAUCAUCGAAUCUUUGAACGCACAUUGCGCCCCUUGGUAUUCCGAGGGGCAUGCCUGUUCGAGCGUCAUUUUGACCACUCCCGCUUGCGGGGUCUUGGGCCUUCGCCUCUGGGCGGGCCUUAAAAUCAGUGGCGGUGCCGUCCGGCUCUAAGCGUAGUAAAUCUCCUCGCUAUAGGGUUCCGGAGGGAUGCUGGCCAACAACCCCCAACUUUUAAGGUUGACCUCGGAUCAGGUAGGGAUACCCGCUGAACUUAAGCAUAUCAAUAAGCGGAGGA
rnacentral:misc_RNA from 1 species